rnacentral:rRNA from 1 species
AGCGAACGUUGGCGGCAGGCCUAACACAUGCAAGUCGAACGAACCCUCCGGGGUUAGUGGCGGACGGGUGAGUAACACGUGGGAACGUGCCUUUAGGUUCGGAAUAACUCAGGGAAACUUGUGCUAAUACCGAAUGUGCCCUUCGGGGGAAAGAUUUAUCGCCUUUAGAGCGGCCCGCGUCUGAUUAGCUAGUUGGUGAGGUAAUGGCUCACCAAGGCUACGAUCAGUAGCUGGUCUGAGAGGAUGACCAGCCACAUUGGGACUGAGACACGGCCCAAACUCCUACGGGAGGCAGCAGUGGGGAAUCUUGCGCAAUGGGCGAAAGCCUGACGCAGCCAUGCCGCGUGGAUGAUGAAGGUCUUAGGAUUGUAAAAUCCUUUCACCGGUGAAGGUAAUGACUGUAGCCGGAGAAGAAGCCCCGGCUAACUUCGUGCCAGCCGCCGCUGUAAUAC